CACUUUCAUCCUUCGACCUAAAACGUCGCCCACCUCUUCUCCUCAGCGGUUUCCCCAGUGGAGAAGGCGUCGUCGUCUUUCCCUUGUACGAUUUUGAGGGACGGAUCUGGUCACCACUGGGGAGGGGGCGAGGAUCCAUGGCGUUCUCAGCGGAGGCAGCGACCAUGCCCUCCGAGACGGCCACUGCCGCGUUGUCGGCGGGCCGGGGAAGCCUUCUCCACAAGUUUUCAUUCCCGAUCUUCAAGACGUGGGGUAAACAGCGGAUCCUUCGCUGCAUGAGCGUGGACGGCAAGGGCGAGGCCGUCGGCGGCGGCUCGGGAGGUGCGAGACCGUCCGAGGUGGAUGGCGAGGACGAGGAGGGGAUCGAGGACGUGAGAGAGAAGCUUUUGGUUCACGUACGGGAGGCGGCGGACCGGAUGAAGCUGGUAGUCCCGCCGCUUCCGCCGUCGCCGAGGGUUGUGAAGACCGUGACGGAAGCGGAUCGGCAGGCGGAGGAGGACGCCGACGCGGAGCCCGAGCCUUCGUCGUCCCCUGCGUCGCGACCUUGGAAGCUGAGGACUAGGCGCCGGGGUUCUAGGGCUCCUUCGGGGUUCGAGCCGCAAACGAGCGCGUCUCCUGAGACGGCGGCGGAGAAGAGGCCGGUGCGGCUGAGGUCGGGGAGCACGGAACGGAAAGAGCGGCCCAAGUUCUCGAUCACCCUCACGAGGGAGGAGAUCGACGAGGACAUCUAUUCGGUGACGGGCCACAGGGCCCGCCGGCGGCCCCGUAAGCGUCACCGCGUCGUCCAGAAGCAGCUCGAUUUGCUGUUCCCUGGUUCAUGGCUGUCGGAGAUCACCCACGACACAUACAAGGUCCCCGAUUAAAGGCAACCUCACCUCCUGCGGUGUGACUCCUUCCCCUCUUCUUUCCGCCAUCGCCAUUGAUUCAUCUCCAAAGUCUCCCACCUCCAUCGGUUCCCCAAAAGCGUAGCAGAUGACACAGCUUUUGUGUGACGGGUUACACUGCUGCUGACACUUUUACGUGCCAAGAAGCGUAGCAGACAUCAGAAUCAACUGUUCCUCGUGCAAGGACGGGGGUAAGGUGGAGGAGCGAGGAAGGUUUCGUGAGUCGAGAAGAAGGAAGACGAGGGUUUAAUGAAGGGGAACGGCGGUUGCCCGGUAGGUGGUUUCGCGGAGGUGACCAUGGCAUGGUCAGCGCAUGGACGUUGCCACCCGUCCCUUCCUCUGCGGUUCCUGUAUUUGCCUGAAUAAUACCACACACGAUUGGUAGAGCUCCUAUUGGUGCUUUUGGUGGGCCCCACAAGUAACGACCAAUAAACAUAGUAGACUUAACACGUGUCGAUGUAGGAACGUUUCACGGCCGUCCAGUUCUGGAGGGAGAGAAGAACCCAAUACUGCUGGGCCCAAGACAGGGCCCAGGGGUUUUAACCCAUUAGGUGGGUCUUGCAGAACACCGCCUUUUGGGCCCCACAUCUUACGGCCGACUUUUCGGUCGAAUUAAUCAUAGUUAAGACGUGGGUUUGGUUAGGUUUAAGAACAGUUAAGACAUCUCUGUUCUUCGUGCUUUCCAUUUAAGCGCCUCUUUUGUUUCCACAAGUAGAUUAAUGACAGCAAAAUUAUUCAUGAUAUAAUUAACAUGAUCACAGAAACUCCUUUCGAGAGAGCAAACUCCAAAUUUUCCUAUGAUACAACAACAGUUAAAAAUCUAAUGAAGAAGAAGAAAAAAUUCUUCUCUCUUUGCUUUCCAGUUAAUCUUUCCACUACAUUUCUUGUCAUUAAUCUCUUCCAUAGCUUCACUCGGAUGAACACAUCUCGGCUGCUCUGAUUCUGCUCAAGUCAGAGGUUGCCCACAUUACGAAUCCUGAGGUGACUGAGUUCCUGAAAUUUCUUGUUUGUUGAAAAUAGAAUAAUAAAAUGUUGGAUUUUGCAGUCAGAAGGUUGUUUUUGUGGUAUGGCAGGAUCUUGAAUCUUUGACAUUGGUGGAAUCAGUAACCUUUGUCCUGUGAAUAAAAUCUACCUUUAGUUAGUAUUAUAGUUUGUAGCUCUUUCUGGAUGCAUUAUCAUUGCUUCAAAUUACUCACCUUACAGAGUUUGUAAUAGCAUUUAACAAGAAAAAAAUCCCAACAGGAUCUUGUGUCGAUGAACCUGAGGCUGGUAUCUGCCAUGUAUCAAGUUUGUA